UGUCUCUCUCAAUAUCGCCUCUUUCUCUCAUAAUCGUUCAAAAGGUAUGUCAAAUUUAGUCACUCAAAAGGUUUUUUUCCUGAAUUGCUAUCAAUUUUAGUCAUUUUAUUAUGAUAUGGAUUUGAUUUGAUUUAUUAUGAAUCUGAUUUUAUGAGAAUAACAAUUUGAUUUAUAAUGAUUUUGCCUUUCAGCAAAUUCUCAUCUUCUCUGCAAAUAUCUGCUUUUUUAAUAUUUUUGUUUAGGGUUUAGGGUUCUACAAUGCAUUAUCAGAAGGGCAUGACCAUGUGUGUGUGUUUUAGCGACUGUUUUGGUCAUUUUAGUCAUACUGUGAUUAAUAGUAUUGUCAACAUAAGGAAUACAAACUGUCAUAGAGUGAUUAAUAAAUCAGUCUUUUUUUUUUUUUUAUUUUUGCAAAAUAAUUUCAUAAAUGGAAGAGAAAGUAUUGGCUGACGUCGCCUAUUUUCACGCAUCCUUUCUAUUUUAAACUUUUCCACCUUUAUCUAUUGAAAUAACAUGCACCAUAAAAUAGGAAGACCUGUACUUUAAAACCAUAUAUUAACACAAAGGUUAGCAAGGCCAUCAAUUGUUGUAGGGGACUGCCACCUUUAAAUUGGAGUGAAUCUCAACCAAACAUAACUAAUCUCUGAUCUUUCUCAAUACACCCUUCUAUUCCCACUCUAAGUAAGAUUCAGACUCUGGUACUUUUGGUGCACCAACCAGGGGCAUGGCCGGCUGGACUUUUGGACAUAAGUACAACUCCAAACGUUGUCCAUUCGAGCCAGCAGUCCAACACUCAGCCUCUUUAUUAACAACAUUUUAUUGUUUAUAGUAAGCUUCAGCUAGCCUCUUUAUUAACAACAUUUUAUUGUUUAUAGUAAGCUUCAGCUAGCCUCUUAAACCUUUUAAACCCCUCUAAAUUGUGUUAGAUGAAGGUUAAUAUAAUUAAUUUCUAUUGCACUAUUUCACUACAGUACAAAACGUAUUACUAACAUCAUUACCAAGUAAACUUUGGUAUUUUGAAAUUUCAGUAACUCGGUGUUUUUGGUAGUACUAUAGUAACAUUCAGUUUUGUCGCAUUUGUAUUAAAAGAAUGACAAUGACACUUUUUUUUUCCUCACCAAUAUGUAGCAUAUGUUUUGAAUGGGUAGCUUAACUGUAAAAUGAUGAUUCUUUUUAGUAGCACAACAUCUCACUUUCCUCAAUAUAGCAGAUAUGUAUAUAUCCCUGUUGUCAUUCCUUUGAAAUUAGAGAUAAUCGAACUGAUAAAGAUGGUUUCAUGGUAUGGAGAAAUCCAUGUUGUUAGUUCAGUUAUAUUUGAUGUAUUGAUAAAACACCAUCUCCAUUGCUUGGGUUUUGAACUGACUAACUCGCAUAAAGUAAUUAAAACCUAGAUAUGCAAAAUUUGAUUUUUACAUAAAUAUGUGUAAAUUGUGUGUGUUCACGAAUUGGGAUUUCACAGACAUUUUUUAAUUUUUUGAGACCUUUUUUUACAAUCGAUGUUACUUAAUGACUACUAUAUUUUUAGGCUUAUGCCUAACUACAUUCGGAUUAAGAUUAUGGUUUUGCUGUUGCAGGCAUUUUGGACCCCGCACCCAAAGAAUGGAGUACAUGCGCCAUUUAUAGUAACAAACUUGCUGAUUAAGGUCUGCACCUAUUUAGUUAAUCGAAUCCUUUAUUUGAAUGCUCUUUGUUCAAACCUAAAUUUGAAGAUAUCUCUUGGUCAUAUUGUAUUAAUGGUGUCAGAAUAUAUAAGAGCUCACCAAUACGCUGUUCGAGAAAACCUUAAGAGGUUACUACAAGUUCAGAGAAA
rnacentral:lncRNA from 1 species